CCUACGGGAGGCAGCAGUGAGGAAUAUUGGUCAAUGGGCGGAAGCCUGAACCAGCCAAGUAGCGUGCAGGAUGACGGCCCUACGGGUUGUAAACUGCUUUUAUACGGGAAUAACGCGCCUUACGUGUAGGGCUUUGCAUGUACCGUAUGAAUAAGGACCGGCUAAUUCCGUGCCAGCAGCCGCGGUAAUACGGAAGGUCCGGGCGUUAUCCGGCUUUAUUGGGUUUAAAGGGAGCGUAGGCCGCAUGUCAAGCGUGCUGUGAAAUGUACGGGCUCAACCCGGGCCUUGCAGCGCGGACUGGCGUGCUUGAGUCCGCGGAAAGCAGGCGGAAGUCGUCGUGUAGCGGUGAAAGGCUUAGAUAUGACGAAGAACCCCGAUUGCGAAGGCAGCUUGCUGCAGCGGAACUGACGCUGAUGCUCGAAAGCGCGGGUAUCGAACAGGAUUAGAUACCCUUGUAGUC
rnacentral:rRNA from 1 species